rnacentral:rRNA from 1 species
CCUACGGGGGGCAGCAGUGGGGAAUAUUGGACAAUGGGGGGAACCCUGAUCCAGCCAUGCCGCGUGUGUGAAGAAGGCCCUCGGGUUGUAAAGCACUUUCAGUGAGGAAGAACGCCUGGUGGUUAAUAUCCAUCAGGAAAGACAUCACUCACAGAAGAAGCACCGGCUAACUCCGUGCCAGCAGCCGCGGUAAUACGGAGGGUGCGAGCGUUAAUCGGAAUUACUGGGCGUAAAGCGCGCGUAGGUGGCUUGAUAAGCCGGUUGUGAAAGCCCCGGGCUCAACCUGGGAACGGCAUCCGGAACUGUCAAGCUAGAGUGCAGGAGAGGAAGGUAGAAUUCCCGGUGUAGCGGUGAAAUGCGUAGAGAUCGGGAGGAAUACCAGUGGCGAAGGCGGCCUUCUGGACUGACACUGACACUGAGGUGCGAAAGCGUGGGUAGCAAACAGGAUUAGAUACCCUAGUAGUC